AUGACUCUCGGCAACGGAUAUCUCGGCUCUCGCAUCGAUGAAGAACGCAGCAAAAUGCGAUACUUGGUGUGAAUUGCAGAAUCCCGUGAACCAUCGAGUUUUUGAACGCAAGUUGCGCCCGAAGCCAUUAUGCUGAGGGCACGUCUGCCUGGGCGUCACGC
rnacentral:rRNA from 1 species